GCCAGGCGCAGUAGCGCACGCCUGUAAUCCCAGUGGCUGGGAGGCUGAGGCAGGAGGAUCGCGAGUUCAAAGCCAAUUUCAGCAAUGGCGAGGGCUAAGCAACUCAGUGAAACCCUGCCUCUA
rnacentral:sRNA from 1 species